GUGCUGGCUUUGACAGCACAUACACUAAAACUGGAACAAUGCAGAGAUUAGCAGGGCCCUGCACAAGGAUGACACAUAAAUUUGUGAAGCAUUCCAUUUAAAA